GAAGUAGUUAGUCUAACCUUCGGGAGGACGAUUACCACUUUGUGUUUCAUGACUGGGGUGAAGUCGUAACAAGGUAACCA
rnacentral:rRNA from 1 species